AGAAGUAAAAUCGAAUCUUCCUUAGUAUCAUUAUUCAUUAUCUAAGCAAAAAUAUCUUUCAUAUCUGAUGUAUACGAUAUAUGAACUAAGAAUAUACACCAAUUACUAGUUCAGACAAAUACAAAUACUGUAUUGUACAGUUUCUGUUGUGCCUCAGAAAUAAAGAUUCUCUUCUUCUAUGGAUUCUCUGACUGCCUUCAAUAUCCAUGGCUUGAGUUUCUUGGUGGUAACUAUGAUCCCCGUUUUGUGAGCAAGAUACUUUCCUUUCGAGAAGUCCAGAGAUUUCCCUGUAGCAUCACACACUACGCCUCCAGCUUCUGCACAAGGUUAUUUUGUUCUCUUCUUUAUAUGUAUAGUCCUCUUGUAUUUUCGUUAUACAUUAAAAAAAAAUGACAUGUGGGUAUUAAAUCUAGAUCCCUUAUGUGUUUGAUAACUAGCCAGUAACAUGUUAAGUUAUAAAGUGAAGUAGAGCCAACAGAUCUCAGCGUUUAAAAAGGUUUUAUGUACUGUACCUGUAGUGAUUAUUGAACCAGGUGCAUGGUCCCAAAUACACUCACGGUAUCCAUUGAGAGUGAAACGCAAGUAUAUCUCUGCGUCUCCUCGCGACAAAGCCGCAUACUUAGCUUGGCUAUCGAUCCUUACAGGUAAUGCUUUAAUCCCGAGUUUCUACUCUAACCGUAAACAGAUUGUUUUAGUGGAAAGAAUCCCACUUGGUUAUGGCCUACUUACGAGCACAUUGUAAUAGAAAGAAAAAAAACAAGUUGUUACCUUGGCAAUGGUACCAUGGAUGGGAAUUGGUUUGUGGUAUGAUUCUAAGAACUUCGCUUCAUCAAGAUUCUCAUUGCUACUCACUUGCACCUGUGUCAGCACAACAUCUCUUUAACACUUUCAAACAAUUGCAGAUUUAUCACAUGGUUUAGCUUUGGACAGGUGAAUGAUACCUUUUGUGGCAGAGAAUUGCCUUUGAGCGAUUGCACGUAAGUCCCUGAACCCGUUGUAGCAAAGAAAAGACAGCCAACAUCUUCCUGGGAAGAAUUAUCAGUCGCGCAAACCGCAGAAGCCAAAGGAAGAUUUGGGCAAGCCAUGACACCAAGCACCACUUUGCCUUCCACAAGCAAGGCUAACCCCACCGCGUAUUGCUCUCCUCUUACAAAUCUAAACAAGCAGAGAAGUUUAGCAACCAUGUUUUUAAGUGGCUGAAAAGAUUAAGUAUAGAGAAAGCAUAGAGAUUAGAGAGAUUGUCACCCUCUGGUUCCAUCUAUAGGAUCAAGAACCCAGUGGGAACCUUUGCAACCGCCUUCUGAUUUACCGCAGUCUAUAGCAUUUAACACAUCAUCUGUGGAUAGAGGAGAGCUGGUGUACGAUUCCUCAGAGGCUAGAGUAUCUUUCACAAGCUUUGCAAUAUCUUCUAGAAACGCCUCACUUCCAUUCUUCCGCAGAUCUCCAGUUUCCUGUUGGAGCUCCCUCUCCAAUACAAGACUAACCACAGCUUGUGAGCCUGAAGAAACCAUCCGUUAAUGGGAGUGGUAAAAGACAUUUUCUUGAUUGAUUUUAUAGAGAAAACAAGAACUUAGCAAAAACAGAAACUUGAAGUUGAAUUCGCGGGUAUGCAAACGACGAGGUACAAACCGUAAUCAGCUGCAGUAACCGGACUUCUAUCGGAUUUUUUCCAAACUUGGGAUUGCAAAAGAGUCUUCUGCACUUCCUGAUUCAUUACAUAAUAAGGUUUGUUUUAGUUUCAGCGAUUCAUAUAAGCUCCAUGCUCUGACUCUAGCUCAGUAGCUUGUUACCUGGCUGAGACGAGCAGCUAGAGUGACGGCUUUCUUUGCAGCGGCUAGCUCCUUCUCAUAAGACAUUGAAAAGCUUCAAGAAUAGACUAUGUAAAAGCUUAUUCUAUCUAAUAAUGGUUUUAUAUAUUGAAACAAUUUAUAGCCGUACUCUAAGUCAGGACGUAGUCAACAUCGUUGAAUGAUAUAAUAUAACCGAGUGUAUCGUGUGAGACGGAGUUGGUGCAAACCAUCUUUCACGUAAUUAUACACAACAAGUUGACGCUAAAAAAAGAAGAGGAUGGAUAGAAUAUGUAGACCAAAGAAUAUGGAUUAUUAUUCUGUAGAAUAUUUCACGGAUU
rnacentral:lncRNA from 1 species